UUUAUAUCCACUAGACCAUGAAGACAUUCUUUUGAUGAACUACAGGACUAUAUUAAACUGUCAUCAGACUCUUCUAUUGGCAAGGUUUGAAGGAGGCACUUCCUAUUUCCUCGUAGCGAGUCAUGUGGUUUAUCUGCACAGAGAAGAUGGCUUAAACUACAACCAGUAGCUACUCUACAGCAAUUUCCCAGACUUGCUCUCAGUAUUGGUGUAUGCAUCUUUGUGAUGAUCUGACUUUGCUUCAUUCAAAGAUAAGAGAUCCACAUUUCAAGAACUAUGAUUACAAGAGUAAAGGUUUUCCUUUAAACCAACCCAUCUAUUACAAAAACAAC